rnacentral:lncRNA from 1 species
GAGAUCUUUAAAUAUCGUGGAUUAAUGGAGGAGUGUCAGCAGAAGAUUUGGACCUUAGUUGCCAGAGAGCUGCAUCCAUGGUGUUACCAUCACAUCCACUGAAUGUGCUGGAGCUUUCCUAUCAAGGGGCUGUUUUUCAGCUGGAUCAGUUCUCUGAUCUGGUUCACCAUGUGGCUGCACAAACAUUUAUGAUGGCACAGUACAACAGAUGAUCUGGGUGAAGAUGUGGGAGUGGGAGAAAGCAGGGACUGCUUCAUUGGAAAUUUUGCAUGCUUGAAAGAAUACCAAAUUGCAGCUCAAGGAAGAAAGGAUUUGAAGCAGGAUGACACAUCGGAGAAGAGGGUUGAAGGAUAUGCCUAAUUCCCCAGAAACGAAAACUUGGCUUAAAAUGCCAAAUGGUGCAAUUACAGGAGGUGAAGAUCAGCCGGCACAGCCACUUCCAAAUAAUGCCAUCUGCAGAAAAAGGCAAUGCACUUUUCAACAUGACUGUGAAGAGGAAUUGCCAUUCUCUAGCCUUGCUCAGACAGAACACGUGCUUCAUGAGAAUGUCUGUCUCAUGAAGGUGCUUGUUCAGGAGUGGUAGUGGAAGCCCAACUCCAAUCCAUGUUGGUAUUUAUGGUCCGAAACAUCAGUCCUACCCACAAUAGGAGAUUUCACCACAAAAUAUCUAACUGGUUGCCCUAGUGUAGAUAGGUGGAUCUCGGGCACCUUCUGCUGCUUUUGCCACAGAGGUGAUAGUUGUGGUUGCAGUGUCUUCGCCAUUCAUGCCAAAGAGUUGCUUUUGCAAGAGAUACUCCUCCAGAUCUACUGUGUAAACAGAACUGAAAGGUAAACCAUUGGUAUCAUUUGUGCCAUCUAUAUUCUCAGUAUCUCCCUGAAUCCUCAUCCUAGAGGAAGCGAUGUUUAAC